AAUGUUGUUGAUGCUGCAAUAGCGGGGCACUCUCAGUCUUGGACUAAGUCAUGCAAGUCUUAUGGCUUUCGGGCCAUGGCGUAAAGCUCAGGAACACGUUGCUAAUCUGCCCUCUGGACAGGCAUAAUCACGGGAAACUGUGGCUAAUACCUGAUAGACGAGGAACCCUGGAAAUGGACCAUCGUUUAAAGGCUUCGGCCGCCGGAGGAUGAGGCUGCGUCUCAUCAGCUUGUAGGUGGUGUAACGGACCACCUAGGCGAUAACGAGUACCGGCACUUACAGGUGUGGCCGGGAGAUUGGUACUGAGAUAAAGACCAAGCCCCCACGGGCUCCAGCAGAUACGAAUAUUACACAAUGCACGAAAGUGUGAUGUGGCGAGGCUGAGUGUUACUCUCACGGGUAACUGUUGCUCACUGUAAAUAGGUGAGUGAGGAAGGAGAGGGCAAGGAUGGUGCCAGCAGCCGCGGUAACACCAUCUCUCCAAGUGCACCGCAAUACUGGGCUUAAAGCGUGCGCAGCCGGAAAGGGUAGUCUUCGGUGAAAUCUAAAAGCCUAACUUUUAGAACUGCUGAAGAAACCACCUUUCUUGGAACUGGAAGAGGCUAGCUGUACUAUCAGGGGAGCGGUGAAAUGUUCAGAUCCUGAUGGGACAACCUGUGGCGAAGGCGGCUAGCUGGGACAGAUUCGACGGUCAGGUACGAAAGCCAGGGGAGCAAAACGGAUUAGAUACCCGUGUAGUCCUGGCCGUAAACGAUGCCUUCUAAGUGUCGGGAUAUCUUCGGAUCUCCCGGUGCUGCUGAGAAAUCCUUAAGAGGGCCGCCUGGGGAUUACGGUCGCAAGACUGAAACUUAAAGCAAUUGACGGGGCUCUACCGGAACGCGUGAGACUUGCGGUUUAAUUGGACUCAACGCCAGAAAUCUUACCUGUGCCGUUUAUAAUAAUGAUUGUCAACUUGAUGAGUUUACUUGAGUUAUGAACUAAUGGUGCAUGGCCCAUUUUAGCUCGUGCCGUGAGGUGUACGCUUAAGUGCGUAAACGUAGCGAGACCCGUGCUCUUAAUUACCAGCGAUGCCCUUGGGCAGUUCGGGGACUAUAAGAGGAUCGCUGCUGUUGAAGCAGAUGAAAGGACGGUCCAGAUGAGGUCAGUAUGCCUUGUAUGUACAGGGCCACACGCGAGUCGCAAUGGUUGCAACAAUGAGAUGCUACGCUGAGAAGUGACGCCAACCUCUAAAUGCAGCCUCAGUAAGGAUUGUCGACUGUAAGCGUCGACAUGAAUAUGGAAUGCGUAGUAAGGAUGCUUCAUUAUGGCGUCCUGAAUACUCCCCUGGAGCUUGCACACACCGCCCGUCGCUUGAUUCGAGUUGGGUUUGGGUGAGGCCUGGUUCUUCGGAUCAGAACGAGCCUGGACUCAGUGAGACGCAAGAAGUCGUAACAAGGUGCCCGUAGCGGAAGCUGCGGGCGGAUCACCUCCU
rnacentral:rRNA from 1 species